rnacentral:rRNA from 1 species
GUUGGGAAUCUUGGACAAUGGGGGAAACCCUGAUCCAGCCAUGCCGCGUGAGUGAUGAAGGCCUUCGGGUUGUAAAGCACUUUUGGCAGGAAAGAAAUAGUGCGUGCUAAUACCAUGCGCGAAUGACGGUACCUGCAGAAUAAGCACCGGCUAACUACGUGCCAGCAGCCGCGGUAAGACGUAGGGUGCAAGCGUUAAUCGGAAUUACUGGGCGUAAAGCGUGCGCAGGCGGUUUUGUAAGACAGGUGUGAAAUCCCCGGGCUCAACCUGGGAACUGCACUUGUGACUGCAAGGCUAGAGUGUGUCAGAGGGAGGUGGAAUUCCGCGUGUAGCAGUGAAAUGCGUAGAGAUGCGGAGGAACACCGAUGGCGAAGGCAGCCUCCUGGGAUAACACUGACGCUCAGGCACGAAAGCGUGGGGAGCAAACAGGAUUAGAAACCCUAGUAGUCC